rnacentral:rRNA from 1 species
GUAGGAGCCUAGCGUUAUCCGAAUUUACUGGGCGUAAAGCGCGUGCAGGCGGCUUCGUAAGUGGAUUGUGAAAUCUCCCGGCUCAACUGGGAGGGGACGGUCCCGACUGUGAGGCUGGAGGCAGGGAGAGGGAGGUGGAAUUCCCGGUGUAGUGGUGAAAUGCGUAGAGAUCGGGAGGAACACCUGUGGCGAAAGCGGCCUCCUGGCCCUGACCUGACGCUGAGACGCGAAAGCUAGGGGAGCGAACGGGAUUAGAAACCCCGGUAGUCCUAGCCGUAAACGAUGUCGACUGGGCGGCGGUGGGGUAAAAGCCAUCGGUGCCGCAGCUAACGCGCUAAGUCGACCGCCUGGGGACUACGGCCGCAAGGUUAAA